rnacentral:rRNA from 1 species
UAGGGAAUCUUCGGCAAUGGACGAAAGUCUGACUGAGCAACGCCGCGUGAGUGAAGAAGGUUUUCGGAUCGUAAAACUCUGUUGUUAGAGAAGAACAAGGACGUUAGUAACUGAACGUCCCCUGACGGUAUCUAACCAGAAAGCCACGGCUAACUACGUGCCAGCAGCCGCGGUAAUACGUAGGUGGCAAGCGUUGUCCGGAUUUAUUGGGCGUAAAGCGAGCGCAGGCGGUUUCUUAAGUCUGAUGUGAAAGCCCCCGGCUCAACCGGGGGGGGUCAUUGGAAACUGGGAGACUUGAGUGCAGAAGAGGAGAGUGGAAUUCCAUGUGUAGGGGUGAAAUGCGUAGAUAUAUGGAGGAACACCAGUGGCGAAGGCGGCUCUCUGGUCUGUAACUGACGCUGAGGCUCGAAAGCGUGGGGAGCAAACAGG